rnacentral:rRNA from 1 species
CACGUAGGAGACGAGCGUUAUCCGGAUUUACUGGGUGUAAAGCGCGUGCAGGCGGUAUGGUAAGUUGGAUGUGAAAGCUCCUGGCUUAACUGGGAGAGGUCGUUCAAAACUACCAGACUAGAGGACAGCAGAGGGGAGUGGAAUUCCGAGUGUAGCGGUAAAAUGCAUAGAUAUUCGGAAGAACACCAGUGGCGAAGGCGGCUCUCUGGGCUGUACCUGACGCUCAGACGCGAAAGCUAGGGUAGCAAACGGG